GGAAUUCCGAGUGUAGAGGUGAAAUUCGUAGAUAUUCGGAGGAACACCAGAGGCGAAGGCGGCUCACUGGACCGAUACUGACGCUGAGGAGCGAAAGCGUGGGGAGCAAACAGGAUUAGAUACCCUGGUAGUCCACGCCGUAAACGAUGCAUACUAGGUGUUGGCCUUUCGGGGCCAGUGCUGCAGUUAACGCAUUAAGUAUGCCACCUGGGGAGUACGUCGGCAACGAUGAAACUCAAAGGAAUUGACGGGGGCCCGCACAAGCAGUGGAGCAUGUGGUUUAAUUCGACGCAACGCGAAGAACCUUACCUGGCCUUGACAUGCAGAGAACUUUCCAGAGAUGGAUUGGUGCCUUCGGGAACUCUGACACAGGUGCUGCAUGGCCGUCGUCAGCUCGUGUCGUGAGAUGUUGGGUUAAGUC
rnacentral:rRNA from 11 species